AUUGAACGCUGGCGGCAGGCUUAACACAUGCAAGUCGAGCGAGCGGCGGACGGGUGAGUAAUGUCUGGGAAACUGCCUGAUGGAGGGGGAUAACUACUGGAAACGGUAGCUAAUACCGCAUACCAUCAGAUGUGCCCAGAUGGGAUUAGCUAGUAGGUGGGGUAACGGCUCACCUAGGCGACGAUCCCUUGCUGGUCUGAGAGGAUGACCAGCCACACUGGAACUGAGACACGGUCCAGACUCCUACGGAAGGCAGCAGUGGGGAAUAUUGCACAAUGGGCGCAAGCCUGAUGCAGCCAUGCCGCGUGUAUGAAGAAGGCCUUCGGUUUGUAAAGUACUUUCCGCGAGGAGGCGUGACUCGAAGAAGAAGCACCGGCUAACUCCGUGCCAGCAGCCGCGGUAAUUG
rnacentral:rRNA from 1 species